UACGUAGGCAGCGAGCGUUGUUCGGAAUUACUGGGCGUAAAGCGCGUGUAGGCUGCCCUGCAAGUCAGGUGUGAAAGCCCUGGGCUCAACCCAGGAAGUGCAUUCGAAACUGAUCGGCUUGAAUAUGGAAGAGGGUCGCGGAAUUCCCGGUGUAGAGGUGAAAUUCGUAGAUAUCGGGAGGAACACCAGUGGCGAAGGCGGCGACCUGGGCCAAUAUUGACGCUGAGGUGCGAAAGCGUGGGGAGCAAACAGG
rnacentral:rRNA from 1 species